UGCUCUCUUGGCUCAGACCAAUUUUUUGCCUUGUAAUUUGGCUAUUGGGCUGUCAUUCAUUGAAGUAUUUCACUGAUUUUGUCUCUUAUCAUAGAACAUUUAGGGGACAGGCAUAUUUUGCAGCACUAUGGAUUUAAGGAUGCACUGCCUCCCUUGCACUGCAGUGAAGCCAGACUGUAAGGCCAGUUGGGUUUGCUACCUAAGAUUUGGCUCAGUGAGUGCCUUAGUCAAAUAUUUUUGCAUUUGUUUUACAUUUUUGAACUAGGUCAUCUGCUUUGAAAGGUGACUAGGCUGAUGGAGACAGGCACUGCAAGAGAGGCAGAGUCCUGAGGCCAGAAAGCAGAGAAAAGGAAAUGCAGGGAGUGUGAUGGAAAGCUGCACAUGGCUUUGUGCAGGGCACACAGCAUUCAUAGCUCACCCACUAAGAAAUGCACUGCAUUGUUGAGAGUUUCUGGCUGUUAGGGAGAUUCAGAUCCAUAUGGAAGUUAUGAAAAACUUGUGAGGUUCAGCUGAAUCCACCAGCAAAGCUACUAUUGAUGCCAUUGGAGCCAAGAAGCAAUGCCUGGGCAGGAGGAGUGGAGUGUUUUGUUACAGAAGCUCUCAUAUCAUGUGUCCUGUUGUCCUGAUACCCACUGCUUUGUUUGGGUCUGACUCCUUCACAGAGUUCUGAGGAUAAUUUCUGGUUGCUGAUGAGAGCAGAGAAGAAGAGAGGAUCUUGUACUGAAAGGGAGAAAAACACCACAUAAUCUGCUUCACUCUGAGUUUUGUGUUUGGAAAAUAAGGACGUGGAAGAGGUCCAUCUUUGCUGCCAUUUGGAUACAACUACAAGAAAAAUUAAAAAGGGGCAGAAGACCCUAAAGGAGACUGAAGACCCUUUCCCAAGCAGGACAAGUGCUGCUGAGGCUGGAGCAAACCUGACUCUGCAGCAGGCAGACUUCUGCCUUACACUCAGUGGCUCCUGGCAAGUAAAAUUAGAGCAAGUACUACAGUGAUUUGCAGAAGUAAAUGUUUAUUUCACCAGUAAAAUGCAAAUGUCUGGUGUAGUCCCACAAAGUGUACACUCCUGCUGAUGGCACUUGUUUGUGGCUGUCCGAGUUUGGAUUAUGUUUGCCUCUCAAAUUUAAUAAUUUUGACAAGUUAGUUUCAGCCCAUUCUUGACAAUGAAAGUAACUGUGAGGAAUGUAGUUUUGGUGUGUGUCAGUGCCAGCCCUGGGCUCUGCCACUUGCCUCCAAGACUGUUUCUUUCAGUAAGGGGCACACCCCUCUCUCUCACGGGCUGCUGUGACCAGUCUUUUCUCUUUAGUUGGAGGGAGUAGCUAAGCCGGUGACUAAAAUCCACCACACCAGAGACAGCUCCCAGCAGAUCUCAGAGGAGCUGGAAUGUGUCUGCUCUGGUUCCAGGGCUCCCUGGCAUGCCCUGCUCCCAGUGCCCAGGACCCCAGGCAUGCCUCUGCCUUGAGCAUCUCUGACUGCACUUGCUCCAUCCAGCCCCUCCUCUACAGGUGAUGAAUACUUGGGUGUGUAAAUUCAGAGGAAAUUUAAGAAAAAUUGGCUAGAGAAAUUAAAACUGCCUCAGGCAGCUUAACUUGUACAGCAACACAUACAGUACUUAGCACCCUAGAUUUCAUUAUUCUUAACAGCAUAACUGGAGUCCUAUUUUCACACAUGAAAUAUUCUUGGAUUUUUUUUCCCCAAUGAGCAGACAUAUGAUUUUUUUUUCUCUGCCAUCAACAUGCAUGUUUUGUCCUUUCAGAGACUUUUUUCAAACUGGAAUACAGAUUAGUUUUACCUACGAUUUAAAGAACUCCAAUGCUUGGUAAGGCCUCAGUUCCUGUUUUUUAUGGAAAUGCAAAGCUGUGGGGCUAUGGGGAGCUGCUCACUGCUUAGCACUUCUGAGAGCAGAGCUGUGCAAGAAUACACUAUUUUCACAUCGAGGCUUUCACAGGCGAUGUGAAAUUUGACUGUUUGCCAUGAAAAAGCAAUCUCCUUAAGCAGGGAUAGGCAUGCUCUUGUGCUCUCCCAGGCCAGACCUGCAAAACCCUGAGAGCAUGAAGGGAGAGGAAAUGUCAAAGCCUAUGAUAGGCAGGGACCAAAUGACCAAGGCCCAUUGUAUGUGCCUGAGGUAGAGGCUGAGGGUGUCUAAUGAGGAGACUGGCAAUAUCUGCUAUUUCUAUUUGCCACUGGAAAGAGUGAGGGGAAAUGCUGGAAACCAAGCCCUGUGGCAGGCAGACUCUCAGGUAAGACACCCACGGUGUGGGUGGGAACACACCAGAAGGCAUUUGUUGAAGCAGAGUGGGGGAAGCUGGGGGUGGCCAGCCUGGUGGGGGGAGGUUGGGUGAGUCCUGUCAUGGGCUUUGGGAGGGUUGCUAGCAUUGGUGUCAGUAUUACCUUUGCAUUUCCACUUCUUGGGUUAAGACUGUGUGCAAUGAAAACUUGUGUAUCAGGGUUUUAGUCAAAGGCAGUUUUUGCCCACACAUGCCUGCCUAGAUCUUGUUGGGCUGUUUCAUCACAUCUUUCUAAAGCCCUAGAGGCCUUCAGGGUGAGAUUUGUGCAACAGAGAGCUGUUCAUCAGAGAGGAAAGCCCAGAGUCUGCCAGCUCACUAAACAUGGGUGUCUGCAUUUGAGAGGGCUGAGCAGCUUGCUAGGCUCCUCUGCUGUCUAAUAUAAAGCCCUAUGGACUGAAAAAAAGUCUGGGGCUGCUUGUGGGCCUGAAUCCCAUCCUUGGGACUCUAUGCUGUGAGACAGAGGGUCCUCUUGUCUCUGCCUCAUGUAUUUUACCCUCCCCUGGCACUCCUGGGCUGUGGGUCCCUGCUGGUGCAGUGCUGUCCUGCUUUCAGGCAUACCAGGCUACCUCAUGUGAAGUGUCAAGUGGCACUAGACAUUCAUGAUUAGGAACUCAAAUCCUUCUGUAAUUGUCCUGGGACCAGAGCGAGUGAGUGCUCUGGUGCAGAGUAUCAUCUUUCCUAAGAUGAUCUUCAGGUGUUUCAGUCCUACUGCUCAUUAAACUUAAGCCUCACCUGCUGGGAUGAUCCGGGCAUAUCUCAUCUAAAUAAUUCUUUGCUAUUCCAGGGGGCUUAGAUAUUCCUGGCAGCUUUGUCUGUCUUGUUCUCAACCAGUGAAGCACAAUUUAAUUUUAGGACUUGAAAUGUUUUACUCUAAUGAAGUCUCUGAGUUUAGAGCACAGGUGAAAUGCAGUAAUAUAUAUUGUACAAGAGGUCAAACUAAAUGAACUAGUACUCCAUUUUGGCCCUAAAUUAUGAAGUUCAUGGAAUGAUUUCUAAUAAUGAAUGCAUUUGUAAAACUUGGAUGCCUUCUCAGGGAUAAUCUGCAAACAGAAAAACAACUUGUUUUGUUAAGCAGACUGUGACAAACAGUUCUUCCAACUUUAUGCUAUACAGACAUGUAUUUUUGGAUAUUCUUUGGGGGAAAAAUCUACUGCAGCCAAAUCUACAUAACCUGCAAGAAAAGAAUCUGAAACAAAACUAAAGAUAUAUGUAGAUUAUGAAAGGUAGAGAAUCAGGUUGGAAUUCUAAUGUAAAUGUAUGUCACUAUCAGUAGAGAUCACUUGUAAAGCACUAUUUUAACUUGAAAAGCCAAGAACUAGAAUAUUGAAGUGAAAGUCUUUUUACAUGUGCAUUUAGAACAAAAGGCACCCUGUCAUUAGAAAUUAUAUAUAACAGGCAGACGAGGGUUGUUGUUUUCAGUGUUUGGUUUAAAUGCAAUAAAGAUGAACAAAAUUAAAAUAUGUUCAUUGAUGCAUGAGGAUGAAGUCAAGAUCAGAAGUACAAUUUCCUAAUUUUUAGAUUUAUUCAAAGACUCUUCCUUUGUAUUAACUGCUACAGAUGUUUAAUGAAUACUUAAAACCAAACACCGCUUCCCACCUUCCCCCCAACUGUGUUCAGUGUGUUUUGUACAGGCAACCUGAUAAAAAGAAUAUCUAGGAGGAGGGGAAGGCAAAAUCAAAGUUGAUGUAUCAGAACAUCUACUGCAUGUCUAAAUACAAUGAAAUUUGAACUGUGUGGGUGUAUUCACUGAUUUUAAAGAGCGUUCAUUGAUUUUAGUUUUAUUAUGUUUGGAAUUGUGGUAUGUUACACAAAGACCAUUUUACUGAUCUUUAUGAUUCCUUAAAAGCCUAUAACAAUUUGGAUAAAACUGGCUGCUCUGUAUUUUUUCUUUGUUUCUACUGUUAGACUUUAUGCUUAGCUCCAGGUAUAAUGAGAACACAGAGCUUUCUUCUCAUCUCACGGAAAAUUAUAGAAAUAUUGCUACAGGCUCUAGGGCAUCCAGGCACAGGAUACAUCCUGGAUCCUUCAACAAAGACACCUGGUUUGGCCAUGUGUGGAGUUGGGAUAUUAUGAGGCUGACAUGAACUGAACCUGUGGUAACAACAGAGUGUUGGAAAGGUACCAGUAAGACCAAAUUUCCAUGAGAUUUCAGAGGUGCAAUGCCCUGUUCUGAUGAGAUUCUCUCCUCCAGCCACCUGUCUGAAAGUUCACUUCCCAGUGUGAACAUGGAAAGGAUAAGCUUGGUGAAAAGGUGAGCCAGUGUCCAAGCAAAACUCUGAAUUUUUCCUUUUUCCGUACAAACAGGAGGGAAUUGUAGUCUGAGGAAAAAUAAGACACAAUAUCCAGCAGUGUCAGAUAUAACCAGGGAAUGGUAAGAGGACUUAGAGCAGGGGAGUGGGAGUCCUGAGAGUUGGGGAAUAUUUAUAACUCUGCAGAGAUCCCACUGUGUGGACUUGGACAAAGUGCUCCAGAUUGAUGUGAAUAUCAGUAGCGAUACAUAAGACCCCUGUUGGCUUCCACAAGCUUUGAAGUAUGUUUGAACCAGACUUCAGUGGCUCAGUAUGCGCUGCACUACCUGCUCCUGUUCUCCCAGGCUGAAGCACAGACCUCCUGUGUGGAGCUGCCAGGCCAAAGCUUUUUUUUCUCCAAGACCUGGAGGAGACAGAACAAGGAUGCAAGGUAUUGGAAAGAAAGGCUUUUGUGUGGAGAGACUGGACAGUGAAGGACUGGAAGGUGUCACCUUUAUGGGAAGAGGCCCCACCUGGCUGGGCAUUCCUUGCCUUGGAUGCCCAGGGCAGUUUUCUCUGAGCACAGCAGGGCCUGUUGGACACACUAAGAUGUGGCAAUUAACCCUUCUGUGCCAAUUGGCCAGUACUUGCAAGGAAGUUUGAUAGGACAGCGUUACCACAGGCUGGAAGCCAGAGGGGACAAAAGGCCAGUUGCUGCCAGGCACAGGUGACCCAUCAGUGUAACCUGCACCUCCCAGCCUGUGGCUGGCAGCUGUAAAGCUGCAGCUGUUUUUCUGUUCUGUGAGUGAGGUUUUCACUAUGGUUUCAUUUCAUCUGGUGGGUGAGACGUAUUUCCUAUAGUUAAGUUGAACAGACAACACAUCAUCCUGGCUACAUUUUUCAAGGGUGUUUUUAAGUUUGUGCACACAGGUUUUCCACAAGGACCCACUUUUUACUCAUACUCUCCCUUUGCUAAGUUAUAGCAACCAAACCAUGCUACAUUCAAACUCCUAAGCUUUGAGAUAAAAAAAAAAAAGAUUUUCUGAGGAAGAAAGUAUACAGUCUAAUUAGUUGAUGGUGUUUCUCCUCACACAAUUUGUACUUCUGGAUUGAAGGUUGAGGCAAUUUAAGCACUGGCUUUCACCACAAUGAGCACCCAGAGCUCAGAUAAAUUCAGGCAAAGCCUAGGCUUCCCAGGCACAGAUUGUAUGCUCUGUAGCACCAACCAGUAUAAAGAUGGAGACCUUAAAACUGAUGCUGUUAUUGCUGAUCCCAGCUGGAGAAAUUUUGGUGUCAGAAAUAAGCUCAUGUUUAAAGAGAUUUUUCUCUAAUCCUGGCAUGUUUCAAAAUCCUGGGUGAGAUUUAGUUAAAUCCUUGAAGGGAAAAGAGAUGAAAUUUUAACCUCAAAAUCCACAACAGUCCUGAACAUAAAUGGACACCACAGGAUCAUUAAAGAGCUUAUCUCCAUCUCACAGACAGGCCAACACUUGCACACACUGUCUGUGUGUCACAGGGAGGUGUUGCACACCAGUGAGCUGGGUGCCACGUCAGUGUGCUGGGGGUGCUUGUGGCAGGACACCAGUAAACUCAUGCCCCUACAGUCAGUGCCACUGCUGUCCAGACUGCCUUCCUCUUCAUUUAUUAUUAGCUAAACACAAGUGUUUGUUCAUCUCCCAUGCUGAGACCACUGGGGUUGGGAGUAGAGGUGACACAGCACUGCUGUGUGGGAGAUGGGGCUAUGUGGGCAGCAUGGGUUCCUUGCCUCCUCACUGGCAACCAUGCACAAAUUCAUGAUUAAUUAUCACUCAGAAUUCUACUAUCAACAGUCUCAACUGAAUUACUGUGCGAGGAGGACCCAAAAUGGAAAGUUUCUAGUUUUGUGACACCAGUGUUCUUCAGGAAACUCUAGUUCAAAGGGCACUGUUGGCAGUGUAAGUGUUGGGGGGAGGAAGCCACAUGCUGCUGUGCUCCUGGUGCUUUGCCAUGCUCCUGGUGCUUUGCCAUGCUCUUUAUCUUUCCCAAUUACCUUCUAGAGUGCUCUUUCUACAGCAGCACCAGUUCAGUGGCUGUGAGUGGAAAGUCAGCAGCCCUAAUGCAGCAGCACAGCAGCAUAUUUCCAUUAGAUUUCUCCAAAAGAGACUCUUCAGGCUUCUGUCAGAACAUAUUCAUGACUUUUUGCAUGUAAACUGGUCUCUUUCAAGAUGCUGAGUUGUGUUC